rnacentral:tRNA from 1 species
AGGGUAAUAGUUUAGUGAUAGAGUGCAUGCUUAACAUGCCUGUGAUCCUGGGUUCAAUCCCCAGUACCUCCA